rnacentral:rRNA from 1 species
UAGGGAAUCUUCGGCAAUGGACGAAAGUCUGACCGAGCAACGCCGCGUGAGUGAAGAAGGUUUUCGGAUCGUAAAACUCUGUUGUUAGAGAAGAACAAGGACGUUAGUAACUGAACGUCCCCUGACGGUAUCUAACCAGAAAGCCACGGCUAACUACGUGCCAGCAGCCGCGGUAAUACGUAGGUGGCAAGCGUUGUCCGGAUUUAUUGGGCGUAAAGCGAGCGCAGGCGGUUUCUUAAGUUUGAUGUGAAAGCCCCCGGCUCAACCGGGGAGGGUCAUUGGAAACUGGGAGACUUGAGUGCAGAAGAGGAGAGUGGAAUUCCAUGUGUAGCGGUGAAAUGCGUAGAUAUAUGGAGGAACACCAGUGGCGAAGGCGGCUCUCUGGUCUGUAACUGACGCUGAGGCUCGAAAGCGUGGGGAGCAAACAGG